AUGGGCUGUCGUCAGCUCGUGUCGUGAGAUGUUGGGUUAAGUCCCGCAACGAGCGCAACCCUUGUCUUUAGUUGCCAGCAUUCAGUUGGGCACUCUAAAGAGACUGCCCGGUGUUAAACCGGAGGAAGGUGGGGAUGACGUCAAGUCCUCAUGGCCUUUAUGCCCAGGGCUACACACGUGCUACAAUGGGCGGUACAAAGGGUCGCGAGCCCGCGAGGGUAAGCUAAUCCCAAAAAGCCGUCCUCAGUUCGGAUCGGAGUCUGCAACUCGACUCCGUGAAGUUGGAAUCGCUAGUAAUCGUGGAUCAGCAUGCCACGGUGAAUACGUUCCCGGGCCUU
rnacentral:rRNA from 1 species